GGUACCUAAAGAAUAAGCACCGGCUAACUACGUGCCAGCAGCCGCGGUAAUACGUAGGGUGCGAGCGUUAAUCGGAAUUACUGGGCGUAAAGCGAGCGCAGACGGUUAGUUAAGCAAGAUGUGAAAUCCCUGAGCUCAACUUGGGAACUGCGUUUUGAACUGGCUAGCUAGAGUGUGUCAGAGGGGGGUAGAAUUCCACGUGUAGCAGUGAAAUGCGUAGAGAUGUGGAGGAAUACCGAUGGCGAAGGCAGCCCCCUGGGAUAACACUGACGUUCAUGCUCGAAAGCGUGGGUAGCAAACAGGAUUAGAUACCCUGGUAGUCCACGCCCUAAACGAUGUCAAUUAGCUGUUGGGCAACUUGAUUGCUUAGUAGCGUAGCUAACGCGUGAAAUUGACCGCCUGGGGAGUACGGUCGCAAGAUUAAAACUCAAAGGAAUUGACGGGGACCCGCACAAGCGGUGGAUGAUGUGGAUUAAUUCGAUGCAACGCGAAGAACCUUACCUGGUCUUGACAUGUACGGAAUCUUUCAGAGAUGGAAGAGUGCCUUCGGGAGCCGUAACACAGGUGCUGCAUGGCUGUCGUCAGCUCGUGUCGUGAGAUGUUGGGUUAAGUCCCGCAACGAGCGCAACCCUUGUCAUUAGUUGCCAUCAUUAAGUUGGGCACUCUAAUGAGACUGCCGGUGACAAACCGGAGGAAGGUGGGGAUGACGUCAAGUCCUCAUGGCCCUUAUGACCAGGGCUUCACACGUCAUACAAUGGUCGGUACAGAGGGUAGCCAAGCCGCGAGGUGGAGCCAAUCCCAGAAAACCGAUCGUAGUCCGGAUUGCACUCUGCAACUCGAGUGCAUGAAGUCGGAAUCGCUAGUAAUCGCAGGUCAGCAUACUGCGGUGAAUACGUUCCCGGGUCUUGUACACACCGCCCGUCACACCAUGGGAGUGGGGGAUACCAGAAGUAGAUAGGGUAACCGCAAGGAGCCCGUUUACCACGGUAUGUUUCAUGACUGGGGUGAAGUCGUAACAAGGUAGCCGUAGGGGAACCUGCGGCUGGAUCACCUCCUUU
rnacentral:rRNA from 1 species